rnacentral:lncRNA from 1 species
AAGUUGAAAAAAGAAAGAUUUAAAUGAAUGAAAUUGAAUGAGAAUGUACAAAGAAAAUUUUGUAUAGAGAAGGAUUUGAAUCAAUUAAAAGAAUGAAGAAGAAAUUUUAAAGAAAAGGAUCUAAAUGAACAAAACUAAAUAACAAGUGCAAUCUAAAAAAUAUUGUAAAAAUAAGGCAAAGGUUUGGAAUUAGUUAGAAGGCUUGUAAAAAUUAGUUUAAAGAGUUGGUACAAGAGAAUUAACAUUUCCAAUAACAAAAAAUGGUAAUUGCUUGACCAAAUUGCUUAGAAAAUUAUUAAAUUCUUUCAUAGAAUGGUUUUAUAAUAUAGUACAUUUUUUACAAAAAUAUGAAAAAUCAUUGCACCAUUUCCUAGAAAAUUUUCAUUCAUAGAUUGGUUGAUUAGUAAAACAUUUAAUGUUAUAAUAUAAUAUUAAAAAAAUCUAAAUUAGGUAUCAAAGUUAACAAAGUAAAAAUAUGAUGGUUUAGUAGCUAUAAUUUUGUAUUUAGUAUUAUAAGACAAAAAUUAAUUUAAAAAAAUAUUAAUAAAGAUUUGAGUGAUGCUUCAAAAACUUAUUUAAAUUAAUUCAUUCAUGUUAAUGAUGUUAGAAUAAAAUCUAUGUUUAAAUAUAAUAGAAAAUUUUAUUUU